rnacentral:rRNA from 1 species
AUGUCAAAUGGUAGUCUUGAACAGUACUUACAUCAUCAAGAAGAGGAUGAGGAUAAGCCCACUCUUGAUUGGGCUCAGAGAUUUGAAAUCAUCAAAGGCAUUGCAUCUGGCCUAUUCUACCUUCAUGAGAGGUGGGAGAAAGUUGUCAUCCACCGAGACAUCAAAUCAAGCAAUGUGCUUCUCGAUAGUGAAAUGAAUGGGCGCCUAGGUGACUUUGACCUCUCAAGGUUGUAUGACCACGGCACUGAUCCACAAACAACACGCGUCGUCGGCACCAUGGGGUAUUUUGCUCCGGAGCUGGUGCGCACCGGUAAGGCAACCCCUCUAACAGAUGUGUACGCAUUUGGCAUUUUCGUCCUCGAGGUAACUUGCGGACGGAGGCCAAUUAUUGACAACGGUGAGGAAGAUGACGACGGUUCAUAG